UACAGAGGUCUCAAGCGUUGUUCGGAUUCAUUGGGCGUAAAGGGUGCGUAGGCGGCGCGGUAAGUCGGGUGUGAAAUCUCGGAGCUUAACUCCGAACUGCAUUCGAUACUGCCGUGCUUGAGGACUGGAGAGGAGACUGGAAUUUACGGUGUAGCGGUGAAUGCGUAGAUAUCGUAAGGAAGACCAGUGGCGAAGGCGGGUCUCUGGACAGUUCCUGACGCUGAGGCACGAAGGUCAGGGGAGCAAACGGG
rnacentral:rRNA from 1 species